AAGGGUCUUCUAUUUUCAAAGCUUUGCUGUAAGACCUUUUGACUAAGGUAUCUCCAGUAGCUCUGAGCUAAGAAUGCCAAGAUGCAGGAUGAAUGAAUAAGAAUACAACUUGAUGCAGAAAUAUGAGGAGUGUUUCACAGAAAACAUGGCACCCUAUCAAUCAUCCAGUAUACUCAUCUCUUCCAGAAAACCUCAUUCAUUCAUAUCUUAAUAAAUAAUCCUAAAAUCAGCAUUAUAUAUCCUAAAUCAGCACAUGUUAAGAUGAAACUAUGCGCAAUUACCCCAUACUUAAGCUGUAGGUCUGUAGGUCACCUUUUUCCUUUAUAACUUGAUAUACAUCUAUAAUCAGAGGGAGGUCAAGCAGAUCUGUACAGAUUAGAACUUGCCUGAACACAGCCUCAGGUAUUAUACCACUUGUACAACAGCUAUAUGACUUUCCAUGUGUAAUUAACUAUAGUGUUAGUGCUUAAAAUUAGAGCUGUACUCAUAUAUCCUUCAUAAACUCACAAAGCUGUAUGUGUAAAUGGCUGACAGGUACAAUUGCCAUGACACCGGCAGGUGGUUCUCUUUCUGAACCUGGUACAAUCCUGGUCUUCAAGUGACUGGUAAUUAACCAAACAAGUCUCCCAGAUGAAAGGUGAAAUCCUAGCUGUACUGCAGCAAUGCCAAACUCACAUCAGGAUGGCCAGGAUUUCAUUUGGAAAACCGCAUUUACGUUCUUGAAAGAGAACAUAUUGAAUUUCCUUCUUUAAAAAGAUCAUUUGCAGCACAAAAUUUAUGUACCAGGUACUACCCCAUCCAGUAACCUUCCUGUGGUUACUUCCACUAAAUAUUUUUCAGACAAAAGCAAAAAGGUUUGAAAACAAACCUUUGUUUGUGAUGACUGUGCAACUAAAACAAGAAUCAACAGAACACAGGGAAAUCAAGGUAGGGAAAUGUUGGAAGAAAACCAGACAAAUAAUUGAGGUACCUGACUUUUCAGAUGUGGUCUGUGCCACUGAAAGCCAGCCCAGAUUUCUUAUUAAAUCAGUCAGAUAGAUAGAGGAUAUUGUUUCUCCCUGUGAACCUCAGAAAGCUCAUAACUUUAAACCAUCAAGGCUGCUACUAAAGACCCAUAAUCCAAAUACAUUAACCUAUUACUCAAAGGUUGACUUAGGGAAGAGAGUAAAAUCAAAGAAAGAAAACAUAAAACUUGUCACAUAAAACCUACAGCCUUCAUCAGAUGUAUUUUACAAGGGUCCAUUCACUGAGUGAUUAAAUUGUUUGGAACAUUUGUGUUAAAAGUAAACUACAGAUUGUCAAACUCUCUUAAAUUUUCAGUAAAUAUACAGCAUGAUGUUUGUAGAUGGGCAUUUGAGUUACAGACCAUAGAACAUGUUUUUAUCUAACUGUUACAUGCUAGCUUCCCCUCCCCCCAACAAGAAGUCAUGGGCAAUUUGUCACAAAAAAUUUUUUCUUGCCACAUGAUGCAUACCUGACUAUGUCUAUUGUUAAAUUUUGGUGGUGUGUAAAUGGACUUACAAAUAAAAUGAAUAUGAAAUGUGA